rnacentral:lncRNA from 1 species
UCAUUAAUUACUACAUAUUUUCUACACUCACAAUGUUUGCUAGCUCGCUAUAUAAUCAACUUAAAUCAGUUAAAUCAAUCAUGCAAUGCAUUUCCUUCCAAUUUUUUGUAUAAACUAAUAGAUAAUUGACUACAUAAACAUCCUGCAAAGUUUCAAUAAAAAUUUCCAAGUUUUUCUUACAAUUUCCAUGGUUUUUAUUCAAUUUUUAUCGAUAUCGAUAAUAUCCCGAUAUUUCCAUCGAAAUUUUGGUGUUUUUUGACUACCGAUAUUCCCGAUAUCAUCGAUAUUUUAGACCUUGGUUCUGAUUAAGAAUGUUGGGACGUUAAAGUGGUUAUGCCAAAUGACGCUGCAGAUGUCCCGGUAAGCUUCAGGUGAGUACAUGUUGAUGACAGUGAUUUCAAUUUGUAUGGUUAUGUUUUUAUGCAUUUAAUGCUCAUUAUUCUGCACCUCAGUGUUAGUGCUCCAUCGAGGACAGGGCCUAGCCUUCACGUGAUUGAAGCACUUGGAGCGUAUUUAUUUAUACCCAGCCUGUCAUACAAACCACAUUAUGUGGUUCCGAAUGAUGUGCAGGAAUUGGUAGAUGAGCUAUAUAGGCAACUUCGACAUAGUCGUACAAGUUGCAACGAAUAG